AAUAUUGGACAAUGGGGGCAACCCUGAUCCAGCCAUGCCGUGUGUCUGAAGACGGUCUUAGGAUUGUAAAGCUCUCUAAGCUGGGAGGUAGGGCUUUAGUUUAUUACCAUGGAGUUUUGACGUUUCCAGUAGAAUCAGACCCGGUUAUCUCUGUGCCCGCACCCGCGGUAAUACAGAGGGUGCAAGCGUUAAGCGGAAUUACUGGGCGUAAAGCGCGCGUAGGUGGUUCAGUUAGAUGGGUGUGAAAACCCCGGGCUUAACCUGGGAACUGCUUUCAUAACUGCUGAGCUAGAGGACGGUAGAGGGUAGUGUAAUUUCCUGUGUAGCGGUGAAAUGCGUAGAUACAGGAAGGAACACCAGUGGCGAAGGCGACUACCUGGACUGAUACUAACACUGAAGUGCGAAAGCGUGGGGAGCAAACA
rnacentral:rRNA from 1 species